rnacentral:rRNA from 1 species
UACGGGGGGGGCAAGCGUUGUUCGGAAUUACUGGGCGUAAAGGGCUCGUAGGCGGCCAACUAAGUCAGACGUGAAAUCCCAAGGCUCAACCUUGGAACUGCCUUUGAUACUGGGGAUCUUGAGUCCGGGAGAGGUGAGUGGAACUGCGAGUGUAGAGGUGAAAUUCGUAGAUAUUCGCAAGAACACCAGUGGCGAAGGCGGCUCACUGGCCCGGUACUGACGCUGAGGUGCGAAAGCGUGGGGAGCAAACAGG